UAAUAUACUAUUUUAGUGUGGAGUGAAUGCCUUGGAAGAAAAAUAUAGGCGCGGACAAUCGCGAAAGUGUUGACACGAGGAAAGCCUGUGACGUCAACCAACCUAAAAUGGGAAACCGGGGCUAAAAAGCCCGCUGCUUAGGCAGUAUCAAGGGGAAGUGAAACAUCUCAGUACCCUGUAGACCAAAUCAACCGAGAUAUCGUUAGUAGUGGUGAGCGAAAGCGAUAAAAAGGCAAAACGAAAAUUUUAUUAUUAAGAAUGAAAAGAAGUUUUGUUUUUCAAUGAAAUUUCUACCUUAGAAGGUGUUAGUCCUGUAAUUCUUUUUUUUUUUCGUGAAAGUAAGACGAGGCAAGUUUACCUUGUCUGAGUAUUGGGGGACCACCCUCAAAGCCUAUAGUUAUUUUUCUUACCGAUAGUGAACAAGUACCGUGAGGGAAAGGUGAAAAAGAAGUUGCGACAGUGCAAAGAUCCUGAAACUCCAUAUUUGAGUCGGAGCUAUAAAAAGCAACGGCAUACCUUUUGUAUAAUGGGCAAGUGAAUCUUAAUAAAGGGCAAGCUUAAGCUAAUAAAAGUGUAGGCGAAGAGAAAUCGAGUCCUAUGUGGCAUCCUAAAGUCCUUUGUUAAGUACCCGAAACCGGCUGAUCUAAACUUGAGCAGGCUGAUAUUGUAGUGGCAACAUUCUUUGGAGGGCCGAACCCGUGUAUGUGGCAAAAUACUGGGAUGACUUGAGUUUAGGGGUGAAAGGCCAAUCAAAGUCGGUGAUAGCUGGAUUUCUGCGAAAUCUAUUGAAGUAGAGCGUCCUAAACAGUAAAUCUGGGGUAGAGCACUGUAUAAGCAAGGGGGAGAUCUUCUCUUACUAAACUUUGGCAAACUCCGAAUACAGAUUUUUCAUUUAGGGCAGACAGAGUAUGUAUGCUAAGAUUCAUACUCAAGAGGGAAACAGCCCAGACUGUAGGCUAAGGUCCACAAAAUAGUUUCAGUGGUAAAGGUGAUAUCUGCUCUGAGACCGUCAGGAGGUAGGCUUGGAAGCAGCCAUCCUUUUAAGACAGCGUAACAGCUCACUGACCUAGAGUAGAAGUCCCGCCAAUUUUGAGGGCUUAAAACUAUUACCGAAGCCUCAGACAAAAAUGUUAAGAUAAUUAAAAACUCUUAUAUUUUGUGGUAGCAGAACAUUCCGUAGGUCGUAGAAGUUUUGACGUAAGUUAAGAUCAAGAUAUCGGAAGCGAGAAUACUUGCAUGAGUAGCAUAAAACAAUGAAAUUAAAGCAUUGUGGCCGUAAGUCCAAGGUUUACGAUCUUAAGUAAAACUGGGUCGUGAGAGGGUAACACCUCGAUUUAAAACGGUCCCUAAGCUGUUAAGCCAAAGCUUGCAGUAAUGGGUAAGAUUAAACUGUUAAAAGUUGCUGACGAAAAAUUCACCUUAUUCUUGAAUUUGUCAAGAGUGAGUUAUUUUUUCCAAGAAAAAGGCACUUUAUUUAUACCGUACCUUAAACCGCCUCAGGUGGACGGGUGGAGAACACUAAGGCCUUGAGAUAACCCUGUUGAAGGAACUCGGCAAAAUGACUCUGUAACUUCGGAAUAAGGAGUAAAGGCAUGUAGCGCAAGCUUUUGUCUUUGUCACAAAAUCGGGGGUGGCGACUGUUUAUUAAAAACACAGGUCUCUGCUAACUCGUAAGAGGAUGUAUAGGGACUGACACCUGCCCGGUGCCGGUAGGUGAAGCUUUGAUGUUUACGCAUUGAGGUCAAACCCCGGUAAACGGCGGCUGUAACUAUGACGGUCCUAAGGUAGCGAAAUUCCUUGUCGGGUAAGUUCCGACCCGCAUGAAUGGUGUAACGACUUCCCCGCUGUCUCCAACAGGGACUCAGUGAAAUUACAUAGGUCGUGAAGAUGCGACCAUCCCACAGCUGGACGGAAAGACCCCGUGCACCUUUACUAUAAGCAAAUAUUGUAGGUCAAAGACUCUAGUGUAGAAUAGGUGGGAGCUUAUGAUUCUUUCUCGUCAGAGUCUGAUGAGGCGAUAGUGAAAUACCACCCCGAGAUCUGUUGGCUUACUAACUAAGGGACAGUGUUUGCUGGGUAGUUUGACUGGGGCGGUCGCCUCCUAAAGAGUAACGGAGGCAUACAAAGGUAGGUUCAUCUCCUUCUAAGGGGAAUUGAGUAUAAUGGUAUAAACCUGCUUGACUGAAAGAAAGACAUUUCGAUCAGAGACGUAAGUCGGUCAUAGUGAUCCGGUGGUUCUUUGUGGAAAGGCCAUCGCGCAAUGGAUAAAAGGUACGCCGGGGAUAACAGGCUAAUGAUCCUCUAGAGCCCCUAUCGACGGGUUCGUUUGGCACCUCGAUGUCGACUCAUCACAUCCUGGAGCUGGAAAAGGUUCCAAGGGUUCGGCUGUUCGCCGACGAAAGUGGUACGUGAGUUGGGUUUAGAACGUCGUGAGACAGUUUGGUCCCUAUCUUCUGUGGGUGUUUGAAAAUUCCGAGGACUAGACCUUAGUACGAGAGGACCGGGAAAACUCGAUCCCUUGUGUUCCGGUUGUUCCCUAAGGGGCAUCGCCGGGUAGCUACAUCGAGAAGAGAUAAUCGACCGUUAGGCGAGAAACUCUCCUCUAGUAAAGUUUUCUAAAGGGGGUGGAAGAUUACCACUUUGAUAGGCGGGAGGUGUAAGAGCUGUAAGGUUUUCAGCUGACCCGUACUAAUCCCUAGAAAAAUAAAAUUAUAUAUUUUUUGC
rnacentral:rRNA from 1 species